AGAGCUCGUAGGUGGUUUGUCGCGUUGUUCGUGAAAUCUCACGGCUUAACUGUGAGCGUGCGGGCGAUACGGGCAGACUUGAGUACUGCAGGGGAGACUGGAAUUCCUGGUGUAGCGGUGGAAUGCGCAGAUAUCAGGAGGAACACCGGUGGCGAAGGCGGGUCUCUGGGCAGUAACUGACGCUGAGGAGCGAAAGCGUGGGGAGCGAACAGGAUUAGAUACCCUGGUAGUCCACGCCGUAAACGGUGGGUACUAGGUGUGGGUUUCCUUCCUUGGGAUCCGUGCCGUAGCUAACGCAUUAAGUACCCCGCCUGGGGAGUACGGCCGCAAGGCUAAAACUCAAAGAAAUUGACGGGGGCCCGCACAAGCGUCGGAGCAUGUGGAUUAAUUCGAUGCAACGCGAAGAACCUUACCUGGGUUUGACAUGCACAGGACGCCGGCAGAGAUGUCGGUUCCCUUGUGGCCUGUGUGCAGGUGGUGCAUGGCUGUCGUCAGCUCGUGUCGUGAGAUGUUGGGUUAAGUCCCGCAACGAGCGCAACCCUUGUCUCAUGUUGCCAGCGGGUAAUGCCGGGGACUCGUGAGAGACUGCCGGGGUCAACUCGGAGGAAGGUGGGGAUGACGUCAAGUCAUCAUGCCCCUUAUGUCCAGGGCUUCACACAUGCUACAAUGGCCGGUACAAAGGGCUGCGAUGCCGCGAGGUUAAGCGAAUCCUUUUAAAGCCGGUCUCAGUUCGGAUCGGGGUCUGCAACUCGACCCCGUGAAGUCGGAGUCGCUAGUAAU
rnacentral:rRNA from 1 species